rnacentral:rRNA from 1 species
UACGUAGGGUGCAGGCGUUAAUCGGAAUUACUGGGCGUAAAGCGUGCGCAGGCGGUCUUUUAAGUCAGAUGUGAAAUCCCCGGGCUUAACCUGGGAACUGCGUUUGAAACUGGAAGGCUUGAGUGUGGCAGAGGGGGGUGGAAUUCCACGUGUAGCAGUGAAAUGCGUAGAUAUGUGGAGGAACACCGGUGGCGAAGGCGGCAUCCUGGACCGGCAUUGACGCUGAGGCGCGAAAGCCAGGGGAGCAAACGGG